AUACAGGUUUCUAUAGAAACCAACAAAUCUAACAGUAAUAUUUAA
rfam:Papilio machaon contig12106, whole genome shotgun sequence.